rnacentral:rRNA from 1 species
UACGGAGGGUGCAAGCGUUGCUCGGAAUUACUGGGCGUAAAGGGCGCGCAGGCGGCUCUCCAAGUCAGUGGUGAAAGCCCGGAGCUCAACUCCGGAACUGCCAUUGAAACUGUUUAGCUUGAGUAUGAGAGAGGUGAGUGGAAUUCCCAGUGUAGAGGCGAAAUUCGUAGAUAUUGGGAAGAACACCGGUGGCGAAGGCGGCUCACUGGCUCAUUACUGACGCUCAGGCGCGACAGCGUGGGGAUCAAACAGG